CCUACGGUAGGCAGCAGUGAGGAAUAUUGGUCAAUGGGCGGGAGCCUGAACCAGCCAAGUCGCGUGAGGGAAGACGGUCCUAUGGAUUGUAAACCUCUUUAGGCGGGGAGCAAUGCCGGGCACGUGUGCCCGGAGGGAGAGUACCCGCAGAAUAAGCAUCGGCUAACUCCGUGCCAGCAGCCGCGGUAAUACGGAGGAUGCGAGCGUUAUCCGGAUUUAUUGUGUUUAAAGGGUGCGUAGGCGGUUUUUUAAGUUAGUGGUUAAACGUCGGGGCUUCACCUUGAUUUGCCAUUAAUACUGUAAGACUCGAGUUCAGACGAGGUAGGCGGAAUAAGUUAAGUAGCGGUGAAAUGCUUAGAUAUAACUUAGAACUCCGAUAGCGAAGGCAGCUUACCAGACUGCGACUGACGCUGAAGCACGAGAGCGUGGGUAGCGAACAGGAUUAGAUACCCGAGUAGUC
rnacentral:rRNA from 1 species